rnacentral:rRNA from 1 species
GAUGAACGCUGGCGGCGUACCUAAUACAUGCAAGUCGAGCGAACGGACGAGAAGCUUGCUUCUCUGAUGUUAGCGGCGGACGGGUGAGUAACACGUGGAUAACCUACCUAUAAGACUGGGAUAACUUCGGGAAACCGGAGCUAAUACCGGAUAAUAUUUUGAACCGCAUGGUUCAAAAGUGAAAGACGGUCUUGCUGUCACUUAUAGAUGGAUCCGCGCUGCAUUAGCUAGUUGGUAAGGUAACGGCUUACCAAGGCAACGAUGCAUAGCCGACCUGAGAGGGUGAUCGGCCACACUGGAACUGAGACACGGUCCAGACUCCUACGGGAGGCAGCAGUAGGGAAUCUUCCGCAAUGGGCGAAAGCCUGACGGAGCAACGCCGCGUGAGUGAUGAAGAUCUUCGGAUCGUAAAACUCUGUUAUUAGGGAAGAACAUAUGUGUAAGUAACUGUGCACAUCUUGACGGUACCUAAUCAGAAAGCCACGGCUAACUACGUG